ACUGACCGUAGCUGAGAAAACGUAUCAAAUACUGUUUUGAGGGUUUUGCUCAAGUACAAUGUUGUGUUUGCAUAUAGUCUAAGAGUCUUAACUUUAUAAAUCUUAAUGUUGAGAGCCUAGACGUUGAGUGGUUAAGGCUACUCAUUCACUUCCUGUAUAUUUUUAACCGUUUUGGUUCUAUGCCACCCAUUUGGGUGGUUUUUUUA
rnacentral:other from 1 species